GACGAACGCUGGCGGCGUGCUUAACACAUGCAAGUCGAACGGAAAGGCCCUGCUUUUGUGGGGUGCUCGAGUGGCGAACGGGCGAGUAACACGUGAGUAACCUGCCCUUGACUUUGGUAUAACUUCAGGAAACUGGGGCUAAUACCGGAUAGGAGCUCCUGCUGCAUGGUGGGGGUUGGAAAGUUUCGGCGGUUGGGGAUGGACUCGCGGCUUAUCAGCUUGUUGGUGGGGUAGUGGCUUACCAAGGCUUUGACGGGUAGCCGGCCUGAGAGGGUGACCGGCCACAUUGGAACUGAGAUACGGCCCAGACUCCUACGGGAGGCAGCAGUGGGGAAUAUUGCACAAUGGGCGGAAGCCUGAUGCAGCAACGCCGCGUGCGGGAUGACGGCCUUCGGGUUGUAAACCGCUUUCGCCUGUGACGAAGCGUGAGUGACGGUAAUGGGUAAAGAAGCACCGGCUAACUACGU
rnacentral:rRNA from 1 species